ACCUAGCUUACUUGAAUGAAGGCUGAAAGGACUCUCCUCAAUAACCAUCCCUUUAUUAUCACCUUCCAGAGGUCUAAUUACAUCAGCAGAGCCUAGAACUGGGGGAGAGUUAGAUUUAAAUGUUCUAUGGUCUUUAAAAUCUUCAAGCAAGAUAUCAGCAUGGUCUACUAUAGGUAAGUCACUGGCCACUGAAAGCACAUGCAUAGUUUCCUCAGUUUCCUUGUUUGUGUCACAAAUCUCAAUCAAAUCACCAUCAGUACCAGAAUCCAUGUCCUGUAUAGGAUCAGCUUUGAUUUGAAUAGUAUUAACAGAAGCCUCCAUGUGUUCAACAGGUUCAGAUGAAUGGGAAAGAUCAGGUAAAGACUUCUCACAUCCAAAAUCUGUAGAAGAGCUGUGAAUUUCAUCUGGCUUACUUGAAUUAAGGCUAAAAGUACUCUCCUCAUAAACCAUACCUUUAUUAUCAUCUUCCAGAGGUCUAGUUACAUCAGCAGAACCUGGAAAGUCAGAUUUCAGUGUUCUAUUAUCUUUAAAAUCUUUAAGCAUAAUAUCAGCAAGGUCUACUAUAGGUAAGUCACUGGCCACUGAAAGCACAUGCAUAGUUUCCUCAGUUUCCCUGUUUGUGUCACUAAUCUCAAACAAAUCAUCACAAGUACCGGCAUCCAUGUCCUGGACGAGAUCUGCUUUGAUCUGAACAUUAUUAACAGAAGCCUUCUUG
rnacentral:lncRNA from 1 species